UAAGGAAUAUUGCUCAAUGGGAGAAAUCCUGAAGCAGCAACGCCGCGUGGAGGAUGAAGGGCUUUCAGCUUGUAAACUCCUGUAAAGAAGGAAAAAAUUCCCAUUAGAUGGGAAAUGAUGGUACUUCUAAAGUAAGCCCCGGCUAACUACGUGCCAGCAGCCGCGGUAAUACGUAGGGGGCAAGCGUUGUCCGGAUUUACUGGGUGUAAAGGGUGCUCAGGCGGAUUUGUAAGUCAGAGGUGAAAUCUCACAGCUUAACUGUGAAACUGCCUUUGAUACUGCAAGUCUAGAGUAUGGAAGAGAGUGAUGGAAUGUCUGGUGUAGCAGUGAAAUGCGUAGAUAUCAGAUAGAACACCAAUGGCGAAGGCAGUCACUUGGUCCAUUACUGACGCUAAAGCACGAAAGCGUGGGUAGCAAACA
rnacentral:rRNA from 1 species